rnacentral:rRNA from 1 species
CAGCAGCCACGGUAAUACGAAGGGGGCUAGCGUUGCUCGGAAUGACUGGGCGUAAAGGGCGCGUAGGCGGCGAUCAAAGUCAGGCGUGAAAUUCCUGGGCUCAACCUGGGGGCUGCGCUUGAUACUUGGUUGCUUGAGUGGGGAAGAGGGUCGUGGAAUUCCCAGUGUAGAGGUGAAAUUCGUAGAUAUUGGGAAGAACACCGGUGGCGAAGGCGGCGACCUGGUCCUUGACUGACGCUGAGGCGCGAAAGCGUGGGGAGCAAACAGGAUUAGAGACCCGCGUAGUCCCUGUCUCUUAUAC